rnacentral:rRNA from 1 species
UGGUGGCGACCGGCGCACGGGUGAGUAACGCGUAUGCAACCCCUUUAUCAGAGGGGGAUAACCCGGCGAAAGUCGGACUAAUACCUCAUAAAACAGGGGCACCGCAUGGUGCUAUUUGUUAAAAAUUUAUUGCUGAUAGAUGGGCAUGCGUUCCAUUAGGUAGUUGGAGAGGUAACGGCUCACCAAGCCUACGAUGGAUAGGGGAACUGAGAGGUUGGUCCCCCACACUGGUACUGAGACACGGACCAGACUCCUACGGGAGGCAGCAGUGAGGAAUAUUGGUCAAUGGGCGAGAGCCUGAACCAGCCAAGUCGCGUGAAGGAAGAAGGAUCUAUGGUUCGUAAACUUCUUUUGCAGGGGAAUAAAGUGCAGGACGUGUCCUGUUUUGUAUGUACCCUGAGAAUAAGGAUCGGCUAACUCCGUGCCAGCAGCCGCGGUAAUACGGAGGAUCCGAGCGUUAUCCGGAUUUAUUGGGUUUAAAGGGUGCGUAGGUGGUUUAAUAAGUCAGCGGUGAAAGUUUGCAGCUUAACUGUAAAAAUGCCGUUGAAACUGUUAGACUUGAGUGUAAAUGAGGUAGGCGGAAUGCGUGGUGUAGCGGUGAAAUGCUUAGAUAUCACGAAGAACUCCGAUUG